rnacentral:rRNA from 1 species
AGAGUUUGAUCCUGGCUCAGGAUGAACGCUAGCGGCAGGCCUAACACAUGCAAGUCGCGGGAUAACAGGGUAGCAAUACUGCUGACGACCGGCGCACGGGUGAGUAACGCGUAUGCAAUCUGCCCGUAGCUAGAGGAUAGCCCGGAGAAAUUCGGAUUAAUACUCUAUAGUAUUUCAAAGAGGCAUCUCUUUGAUCUUAAAGCUCAGGCAGCUACGGAUGAGCAUGCGUGCCAUUAGCUUGUUGGUGAGGUAACGGCUCACCAAGGCUACGAUGGCUACGGGGUCUAAAAGGAUGAUCCCGCACACUGGUACUGAGACACGGACCAGACUCCUAUGGGAGGCAGCAGUGAGGAAUAUUGGGCAAUGGACGCAAGUCUGACCCAGCCAUGCCGCGUGCAGGACGACAGCCCUAGUUGGUUGUAAACUGCUUUUAUGCUUGAAGAAACCUUCGGACGUGUCCGAAGCUGACGGUAAAGCAUGAAUAAGCAUCGGCUAACUCCGUGCCAGCAGCCGCGGUAAUACGGAGGAUGCAGGCGUUAUCCGGAUUUAUUAGGUUUAAAGGGUGUGUAGGCGGUUUGGUAAGUCAGCGGUGAAAUCCUACGGCUUAACCGUAGAAAUGCCAUUGAUACUAUCGAACUAGAGUACAAUCGAGGUAGGCGGAAUGUGUAAUGUAGCGGUGAAAUGCAUAGAUAUUACACAGAACACCCAUUGCGAAGGCAGCUUACUAGGCUGUUACUGACGCUGAGGCACGAAAGCGUGGGGAGCAAACAGGAUUAGAUACCCUGGUAGUCCACGCCGUAAACUAUGAUCACUCGCUGUUGGCGAUAUACAGUCAGCGGCUGAGCGAAAGCAUUAAGUGAUCCACCUGGGGAGUACGACGGCAACGUUGAAACUCAAAGGAAUUGACGGGGGCCCGCACAAGCGGAGGAACAUGUGGUUUAAUUCGAUGAUACGCGAGGAACCUUACCUGGGCUCGAACGUAGUAUGACGUUCUGUGAAAGCGGAAUUCCCUUCGGGGCAUAUUGCGAGGUGCUGCAUGGUUGUCGUCAGCUCGUGCCGUGAGGUGUCGGGUUAAGUCCCAUAACGAGCGCAACCCUUAUUCUUAGUUGCCAGCGGAUAAUGCCGGGGACUCUAAGGAGACUGCCACCGUAAGGUGUGAGGAAGGUGGGGAUGACGUCAAAUCAGCACGGCCCUUACGUCCAGGGCUACACACGUGUUACAAUGGCCGGUACAAAGGGCAGCUACCUGGUGACAGGAUGCGAAUCUCUAAAACCGGUCUCAGUUCGGAUCGAAGUCUGCAACUCGACUUCGUGAAGUUGGAUUCGCUAGUAAUCGUAUUUCAGCAAUGAUACGGUGAAUACGUUCCCGGGCCUUGUACACACCGCCCGUCAAGCCAUGGAAGCCGGGGGUACCUGAAGUCCGUAACCGUAAGGAUCGGCCUAGGGUAAAACUGGUGACUGGGGCUAAGUCGUAACAAGGUA